rnacentral:rRNA from 1 species
UACGUAGGGUGCGAGCGUUAAUCGGAAUUACUGGGCGUAAAGCGUGCGCAGGCGGUUUUGUAAGCCAGGUGUGAAAUCCCCGGGCUCAACCUGGGAAUGGCAUUUGGGACUGCAAGGCUGGAGUGCGGCAGAGGAGACGUGGAAUUCCUGGUGUAGCAGUGAAAUGCGUAGAUAUCAGGAGGAAUACCGAUGGCGAAGGCAGGUCUCGUGGGACUGACAC